UACGUAGGGCGCAAGCGUUAUCCGGAAUUCUUGGGCGUAAAGAGCUCGUAGGCGGUUUGUCGCGUCUGCCGUGAAAGUCCGGGGCUCAACUCCGGAUCUGCGGUGGGUACGGGCAGACUAGAGUGAUGUAGGGGAGACUGGAAUUCCUGGUGUAGCGGUGAAAUGCGCAGAUAUCAGGAGGAACACCGAUGGCGAAGGCAGGUCUCUGGGCAUUAACUGACGCUGAGGCGCGAAAGCUAGGGGAGCAAACGGG
rnacentral:rRNA from 1 species